GUCAGAGCAUGUCAUUCUGUGCUCCACAUCCUCCAGUGGUCUCCCAUCUUACUUGGAACAAUAGCCAGCAUAUGUGCUUCACGUCAGCAGUGAGAUCUGGAUCCUGCUCUUCUUUCAUCUCCUGCCCAUUCCCCUCCAUCACUCUAGUCUAACCAAACUGGCCUGCCUGCUGCUCCUGAAACUCCAAGCACUCUCUGCCUUGGGGCCUAAAAAUCACUGCCCCUCCAUGUGAAAUUCUCUUCUCACAGUUACCUUUAUGAUUCAUUCCCUUAUUUCUUCAGGUUUCUGUUUUAAUGUCAACUAUCAUCCUAUUAGUGAGGUCCCUCACUACCCCAUGUAAAAUAGCAACAUCAUACCCCAGGAUUCCAUAUUACCCUGAAGAGGCUCCAUCACUUCUGACAUAUAUAUUCUGCUUAUGCUCUGUCCUUUCAUACCAGACUGUAAACUCAGUGGGAGCAGGGACUUGGUAACUACUCUAUUGUCCCCUUGUAGGACAGUUCUUGGCAUAUAGUAGAGACUAAAUGUUCUGUUGAAUGAAUUUAGAUUUAUUUGGUAGACUUUUUAGUUUGGAUCUACUUAGUCUGUUUUCAUAAGACGUCCCUUCUUUCAAACUCCAACAUUUCUUAUUUAACCAAAUACCACUUGGGGAAAAAAGUCUCAGACUUCUCUCAAACUUGGUGGAUGAAUUAUAUGCACCCAAGGGACCAGCCUUGAAUUUUCCAGUUACCUCAGACAGCUAGGGAAUAGCUUGCCAUAAAGAAGCCUGUUGCAUUACAUCAUCUUUCCCCAUGUGUCUUCUUAUGAAUCAGAUUGCAGAAUCGUGGAUAAAAAUAAUUUAAUUCAGGUAGAAACUUCUAUACAUGAAGUUAUGUUGCAAAUCAAAAUUUCUAUAAGAUGCCUGGUUUUGGGUUAAUGACGUGGGCUUUAAGCACUACUAAUGGUAACAAUUCUUCUAGAAUUAUUUAAAGUUUGUGUGGGUGGCAGUUGGGGAGGCUGUUCUUGGCCUGCACAAUAAGGAGCCUUAACCCAAUUUAAUUCAACUACCCUGCCAGCCAAAAGACCUGGAAAAGUAGGAGUGACCUACAGAGCUCAAGACUUCAAGGAGAGGAAAAAGGAAUUAAAGGAUUUAGAAUUGGUCUCCAUGUAAUGAAGUGCUUCAGAAAUCGUCUGUAAGUUGUGAGCAUUGGAGCAUCAACAAGAAGCCGCAUUAUGAUGUUAUACGCCCAGGAAUUCUGAAUUUCUGCACUAAUUCUUCCUGUCUGCAGUACUAUCAUCCACAUUAUAAUGGACUGUGAUAUAAUAACAUGAGCAAAUUUCCAGACAGCUUCUCGAAGGCCAAGUUUACUUACUCCUUUCUGAUUUCAUCACCUCCAUCAGACUGGGGGACAGAAAGCACUGAAGGCCAAUUUACUGAAGAAAAUUGAACACUUUGUUUGCUAUUACCCAAGGACUUGGGGAAAAAGUAUUUGUUGAUUUUCAGUGUCCAGAUGAACUGAGUCACAUAGAUUUUUCUCAGUCAGUAGCCAAACAGUUAUUCAGAUGACAACUUCCAAAGUAUGGAGUGCUCCAACCAGGGAGACUAUUUUUCAUUGCUUUUUGAGCUUAGGAAGAAUGUAGACAUCCAUUGUAAACCUUAUGUUUCCAAAAUCCCAAAUGUAGGAAAAAUAUGCAGACAUACAGAUAUAUAGGCUAAUUCUAAGUAACAAUAUGAAUAUAUUUAAAGUUUUUAAAACUUUGUAUUUUUUGUAAAAAUAUUUUUCUUUUACAAUUAUUUUCCUUUUUUAAAAUCAUUUUACCAAUAUAAUAUAUGGAGCCAAAGAAAACAAUAAUAGUAUUAAUAAAACCCCCUAAGAUUCCUUGUCAGAUUUAAUUCUACCCAAUGGCAAAUAGUUGUUUCAGUUGUGGUUUGAAAUAAAU